rnacentral:rRNA from 1 species
AACGAACGCUGGCGGCAUGCCUAACACAUGCAAGUCGAACGAGACCUUCGGGUCUAGUGGCGCACGGGUGCGUAACGCGUGGGAAUCUGCCCUUGGGUUCGGAAUAACAGUGAGAAAUUACUGCUAAUACCGGAUGAUGUCUUCGGACCAAAGAUUUAUCGCCCAGGGAUGAGCCCGCGUAGGAUUAGCUAGUUGGUGGGGUAAUGGCCUACCAAGGCGACGAUCCUUAGCUGGUCUGAGAGGAUGAUCAGCCACACUGGGACUGAGGCACGGCCCAGACUCCUACGGGAGGCAGCAGUGGGGAAUAUUGGACAAUGGGCGCAAGCCUGAUCCAGCAAUGCCGCGUGAGUGAUGAAGGCCUUAGGGUUGUAAAGCUCUUUUACCCGGGAUGAUAAUGACAGUACCGGGAGAAUAAGCUCCGGCUAACUCCGUG